rnacentral:rRNA from 1 species
UACGUAGGGACCAAGCGUUGUUCGGAUUUACUGGGCGUAAAGGGCGCGUAGGCGGCAAUUCAAGUCGACUGUGAAAUCUCCGGGCUUAACCCGGAAAGGUCAGCCGAUACUGCGGGGCUAGAGUGCAGAAGGGGCAACUGGAAUUCUCGGUGUAGCGGUGAAAUGCGUAGAUAUCGAGAGGAACACCUGCGGCGAAGGCGGGUUGCUGGGCUGACACUGACGCUGAGGCGCGAAAGCUAGGGGAGCGAACGGG